GACGAACGCUGGCGGCGUGCUUAACACAUGCCAGUCGAACGGAAAGGCCCUGCUUUUGUGGGGUGCUCGAGUGGCGAACGGGUGAGUAACACGUGAGUAACCUGCCCUUGACUUUGGGAUAACUUCAGGAAACUGGGGCUAAUACCGGAUAGGAGCUCCUGCUGCAUGGUGGGGGUUGGAAAGUUUCGGCGGUUGGGGAUGGACUCGCGACUUAUCAGCUUGUUGGUGGGGUAGUGGCUUACCAAGGCUUUGACGGGUAGCCGGCCUGAGAGGGUGACCGGCCACAUUGGGACUGAGAUACGGCCCAGACUCCUACGGGAGGCAGCAGUGGGGAAUAUUGCACAAUGGGCGGAAGCCUGAUGCAGCAACGCCGCGUGCGGGAUGACGGCCUUCGGGUUGUAAACCGCUUUCGCCUGUGACGAAGCGUGAGUGACGGUAAUGGGUAAAGAAGCACCGGCUAACUACGUG
rnacentral:rRNA from 1 species